AAGUGUGUGCAUGCCAUUUUUGAGAAAACAGCCCGACACAGAUAAUAUUUAACACCCUCCCUCUAUCUCUAGCUCUCUCUCUCUCUCUCUCUCUCUCUCUCGUUUCUUACCUUUUCUUUUUCUCCGCUGGCGACAGCGUUUCACAGCUUUCUCCGGUUUUAAUUGUCUUCCUUAUCCGGACAAGGUUGGACUUUUCUUCCUUUUCCUUUUUUUUACAUUUAGUAUUUUCCCUUACUUUGUUUCAUGUCUCACUUCCAUCUUCUUUCAUCUCAUCAAUAAACACACGCUGCAGCCUACCUUCGGAGAGGAGGAGGAGGAGGAGGAGAGAGGGAGAGAGAGAGAGGGAGAGAGAGAGAGAGAGAGAGAAAGAGGGGAGACCUCGGCCACUUUCAGCGCUGCCCUCCCAUUAUUCCUCCGCUAUUGGUCGGAGACGCGAUCAGGACACGCCCACUUCUAACUGCGAUUGGGACACAGCCGCGGCGGGGUUAUGCUAGGCUAACGCUGUGUGCUAAAAGACAGGAUCCGACACAAACCACUUUACCCCAGUCACAGAUUGCAGAAGAAGAUCCGAGCGCGUGACGAGGCGAACGAAGCUGCAAAAGCUGAAUAGUUUUCUCCGAAAUGGGUUGUGCAGCGUACAAUGAAGAGUGUGUUAGCCACGUAUUUGCAUACUGGAAUUAUAUUCACUGGGAUGCAGACAUAAUUGCAGCUCCUUUUGUAAAAAAAAAAAAAAAAAAACCCGCAAAAAAACAAAACCCACACACACAC
ensembl:lncRNA